AUGACCCUGUGGCAAAACCUGUUGUUCUUACUCGCUCUCCUCAGAGGGGUCCGAUCUGAGGUCCUGUUGGUGGAGUCUGGAGGGGAUGUGAGAAGACCUGGAGGGUCCCUCAGUCUCUUAUGCCAAACCUCUGGUUUCAACUUCAAUGUCUUCUGGAUGAACUGGUUGAGACAGUAUCCAGGGAAAGACCUGGAAUGGGUGGGCCGCAUAACUACGGGCUCACCUCCUACUGCUUAUUACAGAGAUAAAGUCAAGGGACGGUUCACCAUGUCCAGAGAUGAUUCCCACACUCGGGUGUAUCUGCAAAUGAACAACCUUAAACCAGAGGAUUCAGCUGUCUAUUACUGUGCACAAGACACAGUGAGAGGAAGUGAAUCUGAAGCCCGUCAAGAACCUUCUUGCCCUAUGAGCAGUUCUCCAAGCUGA